CGAACGGUAAUAUUAUAGCAAUAUAAUAUGAGAGUGACGCACGGGUGCGUAACACGUAUGCAACCUACCCUUUACAGGAGUAUAGCUCGGGGAAACUCGAAUUAACCCUUCAUAGUAUAAUUGAAUGGCAUCAUUUGGUUAUUAAAUCGCAAGAGGUAAAGGAUGGGCAUGCGUCUGAUUAGCUAGUUGGUGGUGUAAUGGACCACCAAGGCGAUGAUCAGUAGGGGAACUGAGAGGUUGAUCCCCCACACUGGCACUGAGAUACGGGCCAGACUCCUACGGGAGGCAGCAGUAGGGAAUAUUGGUCAAUGGGUGAGAGCCUGAACCAGCCAUGCCGCGUGCAGGAAGACGGCCCUCUGGGUUGUAAACUGCUUUUGCCAGGGGAUAAAAUUUCCUUGCGAGGAAAAUUGAAGGUACCUGGUGAAUAAGCCACGGCUAACUACGUGCCAGCAGCCGCGGUAAUACGUAGGUGGCAAGCGUUG
rnacentral:rRNA from 1 species